GUCGUUUCAUUUCCCCAGCCUUGGCCAUCAGUCACGUGCGGCGGAGUUCCCUGCGCCCUGCCGUCUCCCGGAUGGGUGACGUUCAGUGCCUCUUCUACUGCGGCUGACCGUCCGUGCACGCCUGCUCGAGCCUUACAGCUACUGGUUUCCUGGCGAAUGCAGGUGCCUGUACUACCUGCCCUGCACCGGCAACCCUUGCCCUGACAUCCACCGCCCGUCAAGAUCUGCCCCGCCGGCGUAUAAAGGCCUAGUCCUGACCGUAAGGAGACGGGCCUUGCUCUCGUGACAGUUCAUGACAUUGCUACGCCCGAUGACGUUGAGCUGCGGGAAAAGUCUUUCUGCGUGCUGCCUAGACGAUGCUGCAAGGCUACGGAGACGUGACGGCGACCGACGACGACAGCCCCGUAACAGUUCCUUCCGUUCGGUAGCUGUGUCAUAGCAGUUCGAUGUACACUCGUAUUGAGUCCAUAGCUGUUUCACGAGUGCACCAAAACAAUUUCAAGUAACUAUGCUGGCUCAUAUUCAGUACACUACUCAGGGUCUAGCGUUAGGUUAAUCUGGGGUUCCAUGCACGUUAAUUCACAUUCUGUGCUCUCGUUGUGGUACGCUGAUGCUGGUUCGCAUUGCGAAGUUGCGCGCGCGUAUGUGUUUGUGUGAGCAUGCGUAUGUGUGCGUUGCUGCAUGUAUGCUGUCUAUUUGUUAUACGCGCGUGCGACUUCGCUCAUUCCAUCUGGUUGGUGGCAUGAUUUCCCCUGGGGUCCGUUUUCUCUUCCAUGGAAUUUUUGCUGGCUGGCCGCGUUUAUCAGGUGAUUUCCUUCGGAAAGCUCGUUGGCGGUUCUGCAGUGAUGGUCGCACAUCUUUUCAGCAAAACUUUAGGACUGGGCAUUCCCCUUACUUAAAGGGUGUCCGGCCGUCCACUCGCAUAUUUGUCUGCACCUUCCAUUAUCAAAUUGUUUUGUACUCGACGGAGUCUCUGUUGGUAUCUUUUGCUUGUCCACAUUCUCCUUGUUUGUCCAGUGAUCCAUCAUGGCUAAUGCGAAACAUCGGCGUACCAUUACAAAAGGCAUAUUGUGUGAAUUAAAGGCAAUAGAACAUCCUCGUUAACUUGUGAAGAUCAUGAUUAUGAGCUUAUCCAUUGCAAACUAGUGCUGGCAUGGCACCAAGCUUAUCCUUCGACCUGUAUAGCCGUUAUUCAUUGUAGCGGUACACCUGCGCACUUCUACACGGCGAAAUACAGCAGCUCCUGAACCUGCCUUCAGCAAGAUAGCACAUUGAUCUGACACCACCACCAACGCCACACAUGCCUGCCGUGUUAGGUCUUGAUCACACUUUUUCAUCACGAUUCCUUUUGUCCUCGAGUGUUCGCUGCCUUGUAUAGAUUUACCUCCUUGCAUCCACUUAAUGUACUUCUCUAUAACAUGUACUCGCUGUACCAUGCUCCCUCUACUUAAUAAAAUGGCAGAGGUAUUCUUUUUCCUACCACU
rnacentral:lncRNA from 1 species